GACGAACGCUGGCGGCGUGCCUAAUACAUGCAAGUAGAACGCACAGUUUAUACCGUAGCUUGCUACACCAUAGACUGUGAGUUGCGAACGGGUGAGUAACGCGUAGGUAACCUGCCUGGUAGCGGGGGAUAACUAUUGGAAACGAUAGCUAAUACCGCAUAAUAUUAAUUAUUGCAUGAUAAUUAAUUGAAAGGUGCAAUUGCACCACUACCAGAUGGACCUGCGUUGUAUUAGCUAGUAGGUGAGGUAACGGCUCACCUAGGCGACGAUACGUAGCCGACCUGAGAGGGUGGUCGGCCCCACUGGGACUGGGACACGGCCCCAACUCCUACGGGAGGCCGCCGUAGGGAAUCUUCGGACAUGGACGAAAGUCUGACCGAGCAACGCCGCGUGAGUGAAGAAGGUUUUCGGAUCGUAAAGCUCUGUUGUAAGAGAAGAACGGGUGUGAGAGUGGAAAGUUCACACUGUGACGGUAUCUUACCAGAAAGGGACGGCUAACUACGUG
rnacentral:rRNA from 1 species